AUGAGCACGUGGUACCAGGUUUUACACGCCCACAGCCCCCAUCCCCCAACCCCCUACAGCGCAGGUUGUCUUCUCAAUUGUGAGCGACAAAAGUAGCAUAAUAAGACUCCAAUGAAGUCACUUUCUUUUUCCUAACCAAUUAAGCAUUCUCCCUCUUUUCUCUUCUCUCAAACACAACAAUUCUGUUUAACCAUUCUCUCAAACACAUAAUUGCAAAUUACCCAUUUGUCAGUCUCUCUAAGUUCUUCCUCAUUCCUCCAGUUGGAUCGCCGGUUUCCGGCAUGGAUGGAACGGAACCCGCCUCGUUUCCAUCGAACCUUUUUUUAAGUCAACACAAUGAUGGUACUCAAACACGCAUAGCAAAGUGAUAACCAAGUUAGUUCAGCAACAACAGUAGCAGACCUACAAACAAACCUCCUAACUUUUGGCUUUUCUGCUGAAAUGGCUGACGUCAAUGUUAACCUAGUUGACCCUAUCUCUUCGCCUUCGGGCGAAGACAUGGCGGUGAAAGCAGUACACAAGCGAUACGAAGGGCUGGUUGCAGUCCGUACAAAAGCUAUAAAAGGGAAAGGAGCUUGGUACUGGACUCAUCUCCAGCCCAUUUUGAUACAAAAUCCGGAAACAAACGUCCCGAAAGCAGUGAAACUCAAGUGUACUUUAUGUGAUGCUUCGUUUUCAGCUUCAAAUCCGUCUCGUACUGCUACAGAGCAUCUUAAGAGAGGUACUUGUCCCAAUUUUGGCUCUCUUUUGAGGCCAAUUUCACAAUUGCCUCCUUUAGCUUCACCUUCUUCACAAAAUCAUCGCAAAAGAAGUUCACCACAAACUGGUAGUGGUACUGGUACUUCAUCAAGUUCGCAACAAUUUGGAUUGGUGAACACUUCGCCGCGUUUCUGUGGCGAAAUGGGCUAUUCACCAGUCCAAACGGCUCAAGCAAUUGUUACUCAUACGGGUUUGAAUCAACAACAUUUGGUGUUGUCGGGUGGGAAAGAGGAUUUAGGUGCUUUAGCAAUGUUGGAAGAUAGUGUAAAGAGGCUUAAAAGUUUGAAAGGUUCACCUGGUCCAGCUUUGAGUAAGGACCAGGUUGAUUCAGCUUUCAAUUUGUUGGCUGAUUGGUUUUAUGAGUCGUGCGGGACAGUGACACUUUCGAGCCUUGAGCAUCCGAAAUUCAAGGCUUUCCUUAACCAAGUUGGAUUGCCCGCUGUGUCGAGGAAGGACUUUGUAGGAGAAAAGCUUGAUUCUAAGUUUGAAGAAGCAAGAAUGGAGUCAGAAGCCAGGAUUCGGGAUGCAGCAUUUUUUCAAGUUUCUUCAGAUGGAUGGGGGAGGGAUAUUUGUAAGUAUGGGGAGGAUCCUGUGAUUAAAUUUAUUGUAAAUCUUCCUAAUGGUACUAAUGUAUUUCAUAAGGCAGUGUAUAAGGGCGGUUUGGUGCCAUCGGAGUAUGCAGAGGAAGUUUUACGUGAAACGAUUAAAGGGUUGUGUGGUAAUGUUGUUCAAAGAUGUGUAGGAAUAGUUGGAGAUAAGUAUAAAGGUAAGGCAUUGAGAAAUUUGGAGAUUCAAAAUCAUUGGAUGGUUAACCUUUCGUGCCAAAUCCAUGGAUUUAUUAGCUUGUUGAAAGACUUUGGUAGAGAGCUUCCGCUUUUUAAAACUGUAACUGAUAAUUGUUUAAAGAUUGCAAAUCUUUUCAAUAGCAAGUCCCAGAUCAGAAAUCAUUUUAGGAAAUUCAGGUCACACGGUGUUGAGCUUGCAGGGUUGAUUAGAGUUCCUUCGGCUGACUGCAAUCUCUCUAAGAACUACGGUCCUGUCAUUGCAAUGUUGGAGGAUAUACUAAGUUAUGCUCGAAUAUUGCAGUUAAUAGUGCUGGAUGAUUCGUAUAAGGUCUCAUGCAUAGAGGAUCCUGUUGCUAAAGAAGUUGCUGAAAUGAUACAGGAUGUUGGGUUUUGGAAUAAUGUGGAGGCUGUUCAUUCACUAGUGAAACUGAUCAAGGAGAUGACUGAUGAUAUUGAGGUCGAGAGACCCUUAGUUGGUCAGUGCCUUCUACUUUGGGAGGAGUUGAGAGCUAAAGUAAAGGACUGGUGUGCCAAAUUUAGCAUUGCCGAGGGACCUAUUGAGAAGAUAAUCAAUACACGGUUCAAAAGAAACUAUCACCCUGCAUGGUCAGCUGCAUUUGUGCUUGAUCCAUUAUACUUAGUGAGGGAUGCAAGUGGGAAGUACCUUCCGCCAUUUAAACGUCUGACACAUGAUCAAGAGAAGGACAUAGACAAGCUUAUAACACGGCUAGUACCACGGGAGGAAGCUCCCACUGCACUAAUGGAACUUAUGAAAUGGAGAUCAGAAGGGCUCGACCCACUGUACGCUCAGGCUGUUCAAGUAAAGCAGCGAGAUCCAGUAACUGGACGAAUGAAAAUUGCAAAUCCUCAGAGUAGCAGGCUUGUAUGGGAAACUUGCCUGAAAGAGUUCAAGUCGCUGGGGAAGAUUGCUGUUAGGCUUCUCUUCCUUCAGGCAACCUCAUGUGGAUUUAAAUGUAAUUGGUCCUUUAUGAGAUGGGUUUCUCUGCAAGGACACUCGAGGGUUGGCAUGGAUAGAGCUCAAAGGAUGAUCUUCAUUGCAGCUCACGCAAAACUUGAGAAACGGGAUUUUUCCAGUGACGAGGAGAAGGAUGCUGAGAUGCUUGGUACAGCAAAUGUCAAGUUUCUCUUCAUUGGUGGUUGCAUGAAAAUCUGAUAAGCUUUUAUGAGAUGAGUCAACCUAAAAACCGUCUGGAAGAAGAUCCUUGUAGCCAGAAGAAUGACUCCAGAGCAUCUGCUUUACGAGCCCCACAGUCAUGAGUGAAUCACUGGAUUUCACAUCAGCACCUCAGACGUUGUAUCAAGAAGAAGGAUUAGAGGGGAAGUUCUCUGUUUUUUCCCUAUUUUCUAAGUAUUUAAUUGUUUAUUUUAUUCUUAGCAGCCAAGAGCCCAAGACUGCUUAAAAAGCUUUAGGUUAACUGUUUAUUUAACCAUCAUGACCAUCUAUCUUGCUCACAUACAAGUUGGUACUUUGUUGAAAAUUUCACACCAGAUUUUGAAUUUAAAAGUAAAGGUUUUUCCCUAGUACUUGGUUAUUUCACUUGAUUGAAAAAAGCUACUUUGAGCAAACUGUAAGCAAGGGGUCUGUCGGCAUUAUGGAUUGCAUAUCAAAGCUGAAAAGAUUUUUCAACGAAUUUCAACUGACUUCUGGUUCUACUUUGCUGCCUAUAACAUUGACUACUAAUAUAAUUUGGUAUUUAUGGAGGUAUGCUGUUUUUUCUUCUUUUUUCUUUCUUUCAUGUUAUCACAUACAUGCACCAUUCAUAUGUACACUGCAGAUAAUAGGACUUCACUAAGUUUUGGUUCAAGUAUUCGUCUUACCUCACUUUUGCCUUCAAAAUUUUGUCUGGGAUGAGAAGUGUUAUAGACUCAGUUGCUUAUAGAUUUCUAAGGAAUACCUACAACUCAUUGACUUGCGUGCUGACGAACUAGUUCCAUAGCUGACUUAAUGAAUUCUGAUCUUGGAAACCUCUAUGAAAUGAUUGUCAAUUUAUAAUUACACUGAAAUUGGAUACAUUUAACCAUCAUUUGAUUCCUUUUCUUGUGGCAUCAUUCUUGGCAAUCUUAACAGCAUAGUACCCUACAGGAAAAAUUUCCAAUCUACUGGGCAUAUUUAUGAUUAUUCAUUAACAUCUUGAUGUGCAAUAGUACAGGAAAGGGUGAAAAAAGUGGAGAGAUGAAAAAUACAUAAGGACAAACAAUGUAUAGUGUACAAGAAAAGAGAGAUGGGAAAGGCCAAUAGGAGAAACGAAAUUAAAAAGCAGUUUUUCCUGGAGGAUGAUAUUGUUACUGCUAAGUUCACUUGUGACUUGUCUAUAGAAUUUGCUAUAGGCACUAAUUAAUGGAGAGACAAGAGGAAUGUGCUGAUAAUUCUAACUACUAAUAGACUGCUCAACGAACUAGAGGAAUUGAAAAGGCUUUUUCACUAGUAUGGUAUGUUUUUUGAUUUCAUAGUUCAAUGUUGUCAUGUUCCUGUUUUAAAAAAGAGUGAAACAGAAUGAUGAUUAUCAACAGGAAACCAGUCUUUUUCUACCAGAAUCUACACACUUUCAUUGCUUCCUCAUUAUUACCCUUCUCUUUUCAUUCUUGCCUAUUUCAUACGAAUCUUGAUCAAAUUAUUAAAAGCUCAAAUUACAUACUUCUUUUGCUGUAAUUUUCAUUGACUUGAGCUGCUUAUUCUGCCUUGUUUUUUUGGCACAUUCAUUUUAUUGAAUUGAAGGAAAGCCUUGGUGUGACUGGUAAAGUUGCUCCCAUGCGACCAGGAUGUUACAUGUUCGAGCCAAGGAAACAUCAUCUUGCAAAAAUGUAAAUGUAAAUAAAGCUGCAUACAAAAGACCUUUAUGGUUUGGCCCUUCCCCGGACCCCAAGCAUAGGCCUUUUUCUUUUUACUGGAUUGAGUUACUUAGCUAGGGAAUUGGAAUGCUGAGUUCAUUUUUUCGACUCGAAUAUUAGCUCAACGUAUUUUCUUAAACCUUGUGGCUUCCCAUCAAGUCUACUCUAGUUAUGUUACCAUCUUCCUUAGUGAUUCAACCACAACAGAUUUAAGUUAGUAAAAUGAAGCGGUAGAUGAGAAUGAUAUAUUGUUUUUCUUAAUUUGGAAGCAGCUUUGGUCCUGUUGCAUUCUAAUUGGUAGACAACCUCUUUCUUAGCAUUACGAAUUUCUUUGUAUAGUUAGGGAGUCUCCUUUUGCACCUAAUGGGAAGACUUUUGCCUCUGGCCCCUUUCUCUAUUUUUCUUUCUUUUAAGUAUAAAUUCAUGUGA